AGCUGAUCAUAUAAAUAU
rnacentral:miRNA from 1 species